rnacentral:rRNA from 1 species
GAUCCUGGCUCAGGAUGAACGCUGGCGGCGUGCUUAACACAUGCAAGUCGAGCGAAGCACUCUGCUUUGAUUCUUUCGGGAUGAAGAGCAUUGUGACUGAGCGGCGGACGGGUGAGUAAUGCGUGGGUAACCUGCCUCAUACAGGGGGGAUAACAGUUAGAAAUGGCUGCUAAUACCGCAUAAGACCACAGCACCGCAUGGUGCAGGGGUAAAAACUACCGGUGGU